GAGAAGAAAAGGUAGUAGUGAUAGAGCGAGAAAGAAACAGAGAGAAGCAAAACAAGUAUAUAAGUGCAUUGUUCUGUUUCUCACUUUCUCUCCCUUAUGGCUGGGCCAUCGUGGUUGGUGGACAAAAGUAGAAUUGCAACCAAAGUAAAGUGUGCAUCUGGAGCAAUUGGUAAAAUUACAUGGAAAAGCAAUCCUACCAAAGCUUGCCCAAAUUGUCAACAUGUUAUUGACAACACUGAUCGGCAGCAAGUCAUAGACGACCAAGGUGUUCUUCAAACUGAAGCAACUAAUAAUGAAAAGCAAUGUUCAUAUACAGACCAAGCACAAGGAUCUCAUCAUAUUCCUCCUCUGGAUCUAUCAAAGGUUCCUUGGUUAGAUGGUCUACUUGAUAGUCAGGAUGACUAUGACCUGAUUGCAAAAAUUGAUCAAUUGUUGGUAGAAACUCAAAACAUCAAAGGGAUAGAUGACAUUGAAAAUAAUGACAUCGAAGACUCGAAAAUAUGGUGGGACAGUGAUUCGCAAAAUAUAUUGAAUCCACAACAACUCUUGAAAGGAUUUCCCUUGUUGGAUGAUUUCUUUCAAAGUCAGACUCUGAAAAGGGACGGAGAACACAACGAACAACCGAAUCUAUUUGUCUCACAUCAUCUCUUUCCUAUGUUCUCAAUAAUCUUUCCAUUACAUUAAUUUCAUUCUAAUUGUCACACACCAAAUUUUCUCUAUUUGUGAUGCAUUUCUGUUUUUCUUUUUAAUAGGAAUUCAGCUCACAGGAUAGCUAUAUUGCUUGGGGUGGUACCAAGACAAUCAACUAAUACUUUCUUCACCUUUUGCAACUUUAUUUUUUGAUAAAUUGCAAAUUUUGAAAUCAGGGAAAAUGGCCCAGAUCUUUUAUUGUGUUCAAAAGUAUCUGCCUUAUGGGACAAACACUGAUGCUGGCUUUGCUGUUCUUCGUAGACAAAUGAGGGACCUUAACAACCUAAGUAAUCUGGCUCUGGCUCUGACACUGAUCAGCUCAACAACUCAACUUUGUUUCUACACAUUUGGUAAUUACCUUGUGGAAGAAUUAAGUCAAUGCAAUCAUAGGACUUCAAUUGAAGUUUCUGGUGUAUUUUUCUUCUCUUAAUUUCUUGGUUCGAAAUAAAA